rnacentral:rRNA from 1 species
CUACGUGCCAGCAGCCGCGGUAAUACGGAGGAUGCGAGCGUUAUCCGGAUUUAUUGGGUUUAAAGGGUGCGUAGGUUGUUCGGUAAGUCAGCGGUGAAACCUGAGCGCUCAACGUUCAGCCUGCCGUUGAAACUGCCGGGCUUGAGUUCAGUGGCGGCAGGCGGAAUUCGUGGUGUAGCGGUGAAAUGCAUAGAUAUCACGAGGAACUCCGAUUGCGAAGGCAGCUUGCCAUACUGCGACUGACACUGAAGCACGAAGGCGUGGGUAUCAAACAGGAUUAGAUACCCUGGUAGUCCGCACAGUAAACGAUGGAUGCCCGCUGUUGGUACCUGGUAUCAGCGGCUAAGCGAAAGCAUUAAGCAUCCCACCUGGGGAGUACGCCGGCAACGGUGAAACUCAAAGGAAUUGACGGGGGCCCGCACAAGCGGAGGAACAUGUGGUUUAAUUCGAUGAUACGCGAGGAACCUUACCCGGGCU